AGAAAACCGAGUGUCCGAAGCAACUUUUCGCCGCCUUGAAUACUGCAGCAUGGAAUAACAAUAUAGGAUUUCGGUUCUAUUAUUUUGUUGGUUCCUUCUGUAGGACUGAAAUAAUGAUUAAUAGGGACAGUCGGGGGCAUUCGUAAAGU
rnacentral:rRNA from 1 species